AGAGAGAGACAUGCGCGCAUAUCAAUAAGCGGAGGAAAAGAAACUAACUAGGAUUCCCUCAGUAACGGCGAGUGAAGCGGGAAGAGCUCAAAUUUGAAAUCUUCAAGGUUCUACCUUGACGAAUUGUAGUUUAAAGAAGUGUUUUCUGUUGGAGUUUUGGUAAAAGUUCUUUGGAAUAGGACAUCAUAGAGGGUGAGAAUCCCGUAUUUGACCAUUAUUUCCAGCUUUGUGAUACACUUUCAAAGAGUCGGAUUGUUUGGGAAUGCAGUCCAAAAUGGGUGGUAAAUUUCAUCUAAAGUUAAAUACUGGCGAGAGACCGAUAGCGAACAAGUACCGUGAGGGAAAGAUGAAAAGAACUUUGAAAAGAGAGUUAAACAGUACGUGAAAUUGUCAAAAGGGAAGCGUUUGACACCAGUGUUGUUUUCUCGAAAAUCAAUUAAAAAAGGCAGGAUUUUGUGUUGUAUUGACUUUAUCAGCUUUCUGCACUCUUUUCUUGUCUUUUUUAAUGCACUUUUCGUUUAACAAGUCAACAUCAAUUUCUUUUGUUGUAAAAGGGUCAUUGGAAGGUGGCUUUCUUUUCGGAGAAAGUGUUUAUAGCCUUUGGCCUCUACAAUCGGAGAGAUUGAGGUCUGCAGCGUAGAUCCUUCGGGGUUAGAUACAUUUGUGCUAAGUUAUAGCCUUUCAUAGACAACUUGUUGACUAUGAUCAGUCAUGUAGCUUACUCGCUUAUGCUAUUUUACCUACGCUUAGGAUGUUGAUGUGAUACUGCGAGCA
rnacentral:rRNA from 1 species